GAGGAGUGGUUCCAUAUUGAAGUCAGCACCACUCUUAAAAUUUGUUUCUAGGAAUUCACCACAUAUUACAGUUUUUAGAUUAAUAAUGAUAACGGUGGACAAACUCAGUGCAGUUAUUUUUUAGUUGGCAAAGAAGUGUCAUGUUUAACAAAGUGAGACUGAAUGAGGGCAACCACGGAGACAGACAGUACGGUCCGGCUUGGAGUUUCUGAGGCUGGAGUCCAGGUUUCUAGGAGGGGGGGAAACAGGAACAUGGAGUUAGGUCCAGGCUAACUCCAUGUUCUGGCGGCCAUCCAGAAGAGGAAGCCUCAAAGGCAGAGAUAAGAGCUGGAUAUAGGAUAAAUGAGCGGGAAACUCAGGAACGUUCUUCAGGACCAUAACCAGCCCAGUCCACCAGGUACUGGUACCCACGGCCGCGACGCCUGGAGGCCACGAUCUGGUGGACUGUGAAGGCCAGAUGACCAUCCACUACCCGGGUGGGUGGAGUCUGAGCCUCAGCCAUGCUUUGUCUUCUUUAAUAACGUACUGGUUUUAAUGCUUUACUUGGUAUGGAGUGAACAUACUUGUUUUACUUUGCUCACCAAAUGUAAAACUUGAACAGUCACCAAAUGUUUUACAUAUCAAUGUAAAAUAAGAUGAGGUGAUGUGUCUAUACCACAUAUUGCAGAAAAACUAAAUCUGAUCACCUUCUAUUUCUACUUACCAUCUAAUAGUGUCAUGGUGCAGCCUUGCCUGCUGCACCAUGGACAUUU